UUUUUAUAAUUAUCAUUAGCUUUAUUAUUUAGAGAUUUCCAACUCUUUCCAAAACAGUAAGAGACAAAAUCAUUCAACCUUCCAAAACAACCUUAAGACAGCUUCUUCAAAAAUUAAAAGGAAAUUAACUAUAGAAGACAAGGCCUUGAUGACAAUUAACUGACUGUUGGUUCCAUUGACGCUAUAAGGGCUAACAAAUCCUAACCCUCUCCUCUCACGUAUUCUACCAACAAAAACUCAUAAACCACAAUUACACACAAAUUCUGAUCCUAACCCUACACACUCUCCGUUCUCACAGCAAAAACAGUUUUUCCAUUCUUUCCCAAACAAUUAACCUUUUCUUUCUCACGGUACAAAACCAAUUCCACUCCACUAAUCUUUAUUUUCAGAUACAAAACAUAUUGCCCUCGGCCGACAAUUCACAAAGAUCUUCUCUCACAGGCUGUGCACGUUUUUUUACAAAUAAACCAAAUUCCAUAGCCAUGUAAAUCACCAUUAACAUCUCACUACUCUCACCCUUGUUUUUUUUUUACUCAUAAAUACAAUCCAAUUUUCAUGAAACUUCACAUAACCUUCACUAACCUUACUGUCAGACUUCCACAAACACCACAUAAACCUGGGUAGUUAUUCAAAAUAUAAACAUACAAUAAACUCACAAUUGUACAAAGUUAUUUUUUCUUUCAGGAAGGCAGAGAUAAAAAACAGAGGUGAAACGAAGUCGAUCGAAACGGGUACCAUCUGAACCCGACCGUGAAGCUCCGCCAUCACCGGAUUCGGAGGAGAAGCCGUCGCCCACCACCGUGGAACUGCUCCGGCCGCGGACGUUCGACCACCGCACCCAGAUCCAGCCACCGCCGAGUUCAGUCGUCCACACUUCAACCGGUAAUCUCCAUCUAUUGAUUCACGUAUGCCUUCAUCUUUUUUUUUUUUUUGAUUGUUUAUUGCUUUAUGUGAAAAAGCUUGGUUUUGUUUGAGACCAAGAAAGGAGAGAAAUAUGGAUGAAAGGAGUGUGGAUCCUAAUGUUACUGUGUCUCUCUUCUUUUCAUAGUACCACUUGAGACCGAGAUUCAUGGAUUUUAUGGACAUUUACCAUUUUAAUUUCUAUUUUGGAUUGUAAUAAUAUUUUAAUCCCCAUUUGGCAAACUUGUAAUCCCCACCCCGAAGCCAUGUAAUAGCGUAGGAACUUUACCUUUUUGCACCAUAUAAACUGCUAUAUAAUUGUUAGAUGUAUGGUUAAUAGGAUUGUAUGGCAAGAUAAUAACUGGACAUAGCUAGCUAACUCAAGAUAAAUAUUUGAAUUAACACACUUGCACUCACUCACCCCUAGGGUACGCUCCUCUUUGGUUGCCUUCGAUUAUAAGGUCGUGUCCCUCGAAAUAUAGAGGUACCAAUUAGCAAAGGUCCCUUAAUAUAAAAUUGUCACUAAGUCCCUCGAUGACCCUCGAUUGUUUCCUACGAAAAAGUGACGAUUGUCCCUCCGAAUAUUGCUAAGGGUACCUCUACCUGUUGCCUUCAACGACCUCGAUGACCCUUCGAUGACCCAUACGUCCAAUAUAAACAAGGAUUUCCUACUUCUAUAUAGUAUGGAUAAUCCUAGGAACCGUAAAAAGUAUAGAAAAGGACCAAUUAGUUAGGGUAGUGUUCUUAAUCUGCCUAGCUCAACAAAAAUAUCUUUUCAACACUCUUUCGAAAAACUAAGGCUACGCAUUCACGCUAAAGUCCUUAUGCCCCUUUUCAACUCAAAACAAACAAACAUGAGCUAAGCAAAUUAAGAGCCCGUAGAUAACUACGGAUGAAAAGGGUGCUUGCACCUUCCCUUUUCAUAACUUACCCCCCGAGCCCGUUUUCUUUCAAAAAGGUCUUUUUCUGUACUUUUUACCUUUCCUAACAUUGGACAAAAUAAAAGUCGGUGGCGACUCAUGCUCACCGCAACAUUGUUG